AGUGAACGCUGGCGGUAGGCCUAACACAUGCAAGUCGAACGGCAGCACAGUAAGAGCUUGCUCUUACGGGUGGCGAGUGGCGGACGGGUGAGGAAUACAUCGGAAUCUACUUUUUCGUGGGGAUAACGUAGGGAAACUUACGCUAAUACCGCAUACGACCUACGGGUGUAAGCAAGGGAUCUUCGGACCUUGCGCGAUUGAAUGAGCCGAUGUCGGAUUAGCUAGUUGGCGGGGUAAAGGCCAACCAAGGCGACGAUGCGUAGCUGGUCUGGGAGGAUGAUCAGCCACACUGGAACUGAGACACGGUCCAGACUCCUACGGGAGGCAGCAGUGGGGAAUAUUGGACAAUGGGCGCAAGCCUGAUCCAGCCAUACCGCGUGGGUGAAGAAGGCCUUCGGAUUGUAAAGCCCUGUUGUUGGGAAAGAAAAGCAGCAGAUUAAUACCCCGCUGUUCUGACGGUACCCAAAGAAUAAGCACCGGCUAACUACGUG
rnacentral:rRNA from 1 species